rnacentral:rRNA from 1 species
UACGUAGGGUGCGAGCGUUGUCCGGAAUUACUGGGCGUAAAGAGCUCGUAGGUGGUUUGUCACGUCGUCUGUGAAAUUCCGGGGCUUAACCUCGGGCGUGCAGGCGAUACGGGCAAUACUUGAGUGCUGUAGGGGAGACUGGAGUUCCUGGUGUAGCGGUGAAAUGCGCAGAUAUCAGGAGGAACACCAAUGGCGAAGGCAGGUCUCUGGGCAGUUACUGACGCUGAGGAGCGAAAGCAUGGGUAGCGAACAGGAUUAGAUA